UUGGCUUAUGUUGGUAGAUUAUCUAAAGGCAGGUUAGUGACCGUACAAACCACAAUGUGACCUUAGCUUACCUAUAGGCUCUAUAGCUAUUGAAGGAAAACAUUUAACCUGGUUUUGUUACUUUUGGAAAUGCUUCAAGUUUUAAUGUUUUUUCUUCUUUUUUUUUCUUUUUUGUGAUAGUGUUAUUAAAUUGGAAUCGAACUAGUGUUUGAGUUGUGUGCUUGGUUUGUUUAGUUAGGAAAUUUUAUUCACUACAUGAUUGCUUUUGUUUCUGGUUUUGUUGUCGGAUUCACUGCUGUUUGGCACAUGGCUUUGGUUACCCUUGUUGUUCCUAUGAUUGUUGUGGUUGAAUGCAUUCAUACAACCCAUACAACUACUUUGGCCAAGCUCUCUAGUAAGAGCCAAGAACCUCUUUCUCAAGCUAGCAACAUUGUUGAACACGUACAGAAUAAGAAUAACACGUUGUUUCUCUUCAAAGUUAUUAAUUUAAUAAAGCCAUUGGGUGAUUUUGUUAGGGAAUUUUAUUGUUGAUAUUGCAGACGGUUGUGCAAAUCUGAGUCCCAAGCACUACAAGAUUACUCUGAAGUAGAACAGUAGUAAAGUGAAAGGCUUCUUGUUUAUUCUACAACAUCUAUCUGGCAUGGCUGGUAGUUGCUAGUUCUUUGUAUCAGGGAUGAUAUAGUCAAAUGAGCAGGAAAAAGAACUGGUACGCCAGUUAUUUAUUAGGAUAUAGUCUUGUCGCAACAAUUGCUUCGUCUUUGGCAUAGCUUCAGAUUCCUGCAUUUCAGCUAAUGCAUCAGCAAAAUUGAUAAGCAAACAUUCCUGAUAGAACCUGCAAAAUUGAUUAAGUGCUAGUCUAAUAUGUUGGAAUUCUAAUAUGUUGGAAUUCCUGCAUUUUAUAUUUAUGGAUUUUCAACUUGGCC